rnacentral:snRNA from 1 species
AGUUUUGCACAAUGGUGGUAUUGUAGUCAACGAGGUUUAUCCGAGGCACAAUUAUUGCUAACUGAGAACUUUUCCUAAUACCCUGCUAGAAUGAGGUGAAAUAUAGCUGACACUGCCAUUUUUGGCAGUCUCUACAGAGA